rnacentral:RNase_P_RNA from 1 species
GCAGAGGGCCGGAUGACCGCUUUGAUGGGGCAACUCAUCGGGGAGGAAAGUCCGGACUCCAUGAAGCAACGGUGCCGGGUAACGCCCGGGCGGGGAAACCCGACGGAAAGCGCCACAGAAAUCAGACCGCCAUACAUGUAUGGCAAGGGUGAAACGGUGAGGUAAGAGCUCACCGCGUCCCUGGCAACAGGGAUGGCACGGCAAGCCCCACCGGGAGCAAUGCCAAAUAGGACCCCCGCGCGGGCCGGUCGGCGUCAGCCGAUACCGCCGCUAGGCUGCUUCAGCCGAGAGGGAUCGGGUUGGCAGCUAAAGGUGCAUGGCAACAUGUACCGUAGAGGAAUGGUCAUCGAACCCCGGAUCACGGUCCGGGGGGAACAGAAUCCGGCUUACAGGCCCUCUGUGCAC